rnacentral:rRNA from 1 species
UCCUACGGGGCGCAGCAGUGAGGAAUAUUGGUCAAUGGGCGGAAGCCUGAACCAGCCAAGUCGCGUGAGGGAAUAAGGCCCUACGGGUCGUAAACCUCUUUUGCCGGGGAGCAAGGGCCGGGACGCGUCCCGGCCCGGAGAGUACCCGGAGAAAAAGCAUCGGCUAACUCCGUGCCAGCAGCCGCGGUAAUACGGAGGAUGCGAGCGUUAUCCGGAUUUAUUGGGUUUAAAGGGUGCAUAGGCGGGCUUUUAAGUCAGCGGUAAAAAUUCGGGGCUCAACCCCGUCCCGCCGUUGCAACCUGGGG